rnacentral:tRNA from 1 species
GCCUCCGUAGCUCAGCUGGUAGAGCAGGUCUUUUGUAAAGAUCAGGUCGCAGGUUCAAGUCCUGUCAGAGGCU